rnacentral:rRNA from 1 species
AUUGAACGCUGGCGGCAGGCCUAACACAUGCAAGUCGAGCGGAUGAGGGGAGCUUGCUCCCUGAUUUAGCGGCGGACGGGUGAGUAAUGCGUAGGAAGCUGCCCGAUAGAGGGGGAUACCAGUUGGAAACGACUGUUAAUACCGCAUAAUGUCUACGGACCAAAGUGUGGGACCUUCGGGCCACAUGCUAUCGGAUGCGCCUACGUGGGAUUAGCUAGUUGGUGAGGUAAUGGCUCACCAAGGCGACGAUCUCUAGCUGGUUUGAGAGGAUGAUCAGCCACACUGGAACUGAGACACGGUCCAGACUCCUACGGGAGGCAGCAGUGGGGAAUAUUGGACAAUGGGCGCAAGCCUGAUCCAGCCAUGCCGCGUGUGUGAAGAAGGCCUUUGGGUUGUAAAGCACUUUCAGCGAGGAGGAAGGGGUGUGUGUUAAUAGUACACACCUUUGACGUUACUCGCAGAAGAAGCACCGGCUAACUCUGUGCCAGCCGCCGCCAGUAACAC